GGUGCUCUCAACUCUCCCAGCUUUCCAAGCCUGCUUGUGCAUCUCCGCCAGGAAGACCGCAUUGCCACAGCUUCGUCUGCAGGCAUGAGAGACUCUUGUCCUUCACUCCCAGCGUUCCUUUUGCUUUUGAUGAUUGGCUAAUCUUUCAGGACUCGAUUUGAAGUGAUCUUUUCCAGUCUGGGCCAGGCACAGUGCAUCUCUUCCAAGGUUUCACGGGCAUUAGUUGAGCCUGUGGGCAGUCACUAUACACUCUCUAGCACAGGAGGUAAGCUCUAAAGAGUACGUGUUGAGUGAAUACAGGAAGGAAGAGUGAAGGAAUCCAUAGCCUCAUUGCAGAGACAGAGUGGACAAACAACAGGACGUGAUAUCACAAACUCUCUAAGCCCCCAUGGAAGAGGCAUCUCAACCCCAGCAUCAGAGACAUCACUCCUGUAUUCACCCCCAUUUUACCAGUGUGUCAUCACAGCAAAACGGUGUG